AGAUCAGAAGUGGAGAUGUUGGGGCCA
rnacentral:piRNA from 1 species